UGACAGACAGUUAACCAAAACGCAGCAGCUAGUUUAACAAAACUAACAGCUCUUUCAAGAUUAUGUGGUAGGUGGUGCAUGGCCGUUCUUAGUUCGUGAAGUGAUUCGUUCGCCCAAUCGCAUUUCCAAACAACUAACAACUCAGAAUGCUGGGCAAUAGGACGUUUAAAGUGGCUCCUUACACCUUACAAAGGAAUGGCUGAUGAGAAACAACUCGAUCCGCUCAGCGUUCUAUUGGAAUGCAACGGACGUGAUUGCAAGCUUUUGUUUUGAGUUGCGGUUUUACUGAAAGACUCUACAAUCCGCAAACUUCAAUGAUCUGAAGUAGAAAACCUACAUGCUACAGUGAGAUAUUGUGGAUAAACUUAAGCGACCGCUCCAACAUUGUGUUUUUUUAAAACUGAUGAAGGUUGCGGCAAUAACAGGUCUGUGAUGC
rnacentral:rRNA from 1 species